UGCAUAUACAUGUUACUUUCUUGCAUAUUGAUGUUAAAAAUGUUACUUUUCAAUCUAUUGGGCCUUUUUUGUACAGCCUAUCCAGGGGCGUACGGUGAAAAAUCUAAGGGGGGGGGGUCGAAACGAAAGCGCAGGGGGCAAGCUGAACUCGGAGCAAUUUAGCGAAGCUUUCAGAAUUCGCGGGGUGCGUUAUUUGUGAGUGAAGCGAGCAUAUUUAAAGGGCACUUUCUUUAAAAGUGGGGGUCGACCGCACCCAUCAACCCCCCAUGGUAUGCCCCUGCUAUCAACUUGUAUUUCUUUGAUUUUCAUAAAUUUUGAUAUUUGCAA